AGGGAGGUCUUCAGCAACACACUCGGGAACCUCGAACUGCUCGUUAUUUAAAUCAAGUGAGCAUACAUUCAAUACAUUUGGAAAGUACAAAUGAACAGCACACCAAAACAUGUACAAACAUUGGAGUACAUCUCAAAAGGCACAGUAUUAAAUAAGGAAGAAUGAGAUCAAAGUAUAACAUGAACUAAAUUCAUUUAGAAGUUGAUUAUUCUUUAAGUAUUGUCCAUAAUUACAUAACCUAGUUUUAUAUAUUUUAUUGUAACCUAAAAGUUAGACCAGAGAUGAAUUCAUGUAAUACAGGUUAUUAGUCUCACAAAACUAAAUAUACUUUAACCCCUAGGGUUUUCCUUUUAUUUAUUUUAUUAAAUAAACAAACCUACGAACAUUUUGCAAUUUGAAUGUACAGACAGUAAAUGAAACUGAUUUAUUUAAACAGAGAAUAUUCCUACGAACAUUUUGCAAUUUGAAUCACUAAAUUUGGAGUUCAUAUGCAAAAGAUAUUAAAUACGCGAUUAUACUAACAAAGUAUUAAAUGAAAAGCGUUUAAGUUGGUAUUCAUCCAGUUAACAUUUAUCUAUAAAAUCGCGAGUUAGAAAUUAUAAACUAGUUUUAAUUAGAAGGUCAUUUUUAAUAAGUAUCGAAUGAACAACUAAUUAAAUAAUUAAAACUUGUGACAUGAUAAAAUACAUUACUAAUACAAAAUCGACGCGACUGAACAAUUAAUUUAGAACGAACACGAUAUGUCGAAGCGCUAAUCGAUAUCAUGUCUAUACUAACCAAACAUAAAUGAAAACGCUUUGGAUUGACACAACUACCUUAAUAGAUAUUGACGAAGCAUAUAAUUAAAAUUACAAGUUUGUUUUCGGUUGAAUUGUUAUUUUAAUAACUGACCACUAAACAACUAAUUAAUUAUUUAACAUGCACGAAGUGGCGAAACGAUUUUACAAAAACACGCAAAUAGCGAUUUGCGCGAAAGAUGACACGCGCGAAACAGUACGUGCGACAGCACGUGAACGAUGCGUGAUAACGCACACGACAACACGCGAACGGAUGGCGAUGAAGCACGCAGACAGCACGCGCGCCACGCGAGAAUCACUAACAUAUAUCGUGUUUUAUACUAUAUAUGUAUCAAACUACAAGUAUUUAAGUCAGUAUUACUCCUGUCAACAUUUAUAUUUGUAAAAGCACUAGUUAAAAAAUUAUAACUAGGUUUACCUAGCACACUAAAUUAAUUAACAUUGAUUAAACAAAUGCUAAAUUAAUUACUUAAAACAUAUGACAUGGUGAAUAAUUUUUUUAACGCGUAGAUGAUAUUAUAAGGAAGCUAACACAACACGAAUGUAUCGAAAUAGAUUUAUAAUGCGAAAGCUAACAUAUAUUUAAUAAUCCAUAUCUACUGCGACGCGGCCUAUUACGAUUAGCUGGAGCCAUACCAGGGGUCUAUGAAUUUUGUGUCCAUAUAGGAUCUUUGGAGGAUAGUUUCUCUCUAAUCGCACGCAAGGUAGGGCACAUGUACAGUUUUUCCUUUUCUUACUGCAUGCACAUCACACGCAUGAGAGAUAUUAUGCACUGGGCCCCACGUUCUUCAACUGCAGAACACGCACGAUAGCUUUCCUUCUCCAUUUCACAUGCACACACGGUUACUGCAUGAGCAUUUUCUUUGUCCAAAAAUUAUCAGCCAUGGCGCUGGAGGAGAAGGCCAACAGCCGACCGUGGCUAGGCGGGCGGCAUGGCGCCUCGCUGAUAGGAGUGGAAGCAGCGUAGGGACGCGACUACGUGACUAGGAGGUGGGAGUUCGGCCGGAUGGGUCUACUGCUCGCUGGCGGUAGGCAGGUCGAGGGCUCGACCAAGAAACUGAGCGCACAGGGAAAGGAACUAGCCACAGCACCAGGACACGGGCAGGGGGGCUUCUGUGGCUGCCAGGAUGCAACGCGCGCAUGGAGAUAGAAGGGGAGAGGAGAUCCAAGGGAGAAGACGACUGUGAAUUAACAGUGAACACGAAGGAAACAUACCAGAGAGAACUCACCGGAGAAGAAAAGGGAUGCUAGAGACGCGUUGGCGGCGUGGCGAGGCUCCGGUGCAGUGCGGCAUUGGCCAGGCGACGGCGUGGAUGUCGCGCGUACAGAGGCGGCAAGGUGGCGGCAUAGGAGAUGAGCCGUGUAGGGGGAGCGGAUUAGAGAAAUGGCUGCCUCCUUUCUCGCUUCGUGGGAGCAUCCAGAGUGAGCGGUUAUAGGAUAGAGGGGAUAGUGCCAACGCGCACCAAGGCGACAGCGACUAGACGAGCGCGCUUGCGCACUGCAUGAGCGGGGCGAGCGAGAUGGCUUGGGCCACGCAGAGUAGCGUGCGCACGCGUGCGUGGUCCGACCCGCGGGUGACAGGGCCGCAGCGCCGGCAGCUCCCUGCCGGCACGUGAGGUGGGCCAGGGAAAAAGGAGGGGCUGUUGGGCUAGAUUCUUUUCCUUUUUCUAUUUCUUUCUAUUUACCUUACUCAUUUUCUUUUCUGUUUGCUUAGAUUCGAACCUGAGCAUGACACACAAGUUACAUAAAUGUACAACAAAUAAGUUCAUCAAUCGAAAUAUGUGCUCCAGCAUGUGAUGCAACAUUCAAGACUUCCCUAGGGUUUUAUUUUACUUGGCUCACACCUAUAUAUAUAACAAAAUAACUCUACACUAUUUUAAAAAAAGAAUAGACAAGAAGGGAAGAAGAGGGUAACACCUGAAUUUGGUGGAUAUUAAGAAAGAAAUUUUAUACCCCCAAAUUCAGGGUGUUACAACGCCCCACUCUCUUUCCCUCAACCCGACAGCGCCCAGGCGGCGGAGCUCAGCUCCCCGCAGUGGCAUGUUCGUCGGCGAGCACGAAAUCCUGUGCCUAACCGCCCCCAACCUAGAAAUUGAUCGGUACUAAACUGAGAGGGGAAGAUGGCGAAUCUGCAGAGAGGGGUCUCACCGGCGAUUGAAGAGGUAGCGAGCCUGUCCACGAUGCAGGGCGGGACUGCGGCAAGAACAGGGCUCCGGUGAGGAAUUCCGCCCAACCCGAGCACCAAUUCGUACCGGCGUGGCCUCGUCUUCACACAAGAGAACCCCACGGAGGUCACUAUGUUGUCCUUAUGCUUCAAUUCGCCGCGCCGGUGAGGAGCGGCCAUGGCAGAUUCCCUCCACGGCGUAUGCAGAACGGUAGCUAGGGCUUUCUGGUAGUCACGAAAGGGUGGCAGGGUUUGGCGCCUAUGUAGGCCUUCCCGCGGAGGGCCCGGGUGUGGCG
rnacentral:lncRNA from 1 species